rnacentral:lncRNA from 1 species
UAGCUAAUUCAAGGUAGUGCCUGGUGGUGUGGAACAAUCAUUUUGAAAUUUCUGACAUCUAAAAUCUUAGGCGUUUCAGACCACAUUCGCCUGAGUGAUCUUAUAGCAGCCAGAAUCUUAAGGUAUACAGAUUUUGAUACUUUAAUAUACACCUGUGCUCCCGAAUUUGACUUCAUGGAAAAAGCGACUCCACUGAGAUACACAAA